rnacentral:rRNA from 1 species
UACGUUCCGGCCUUGUACACACCGCCCGUCACGUCACGAAAGUCGGUAACGCCCGAAGCCGGUGGCCCAACCCCUUGUGGGAGGGAGCCGUCGAAGGUAGGGUCGAUGAUUGGGGUG